GCCCUUGUAGUAUAAAACAACACGCUAGCCUUGUAAACUAGAAAUGGAACUCACAACCCCCAGGGCA
rnacentral:tRNA from 2 species